GUUAUCUGAACCUUCGGGGGACGAUAACGGCGUCGAGCGGCGGACGGGUGAGUAAUGCCUAGGAAAUUGCCCUGAUGUGGGGGAUAACCAUUGGAAACGAUGGCUAAUACCGCAUGAUGCCUACGGGCCAAAGAGGGGGACCUUCGGGCCUCUCGCGUCAGGAUAUGCCUAGGUGGGAUUAGCUAGUUGGUGAGGUAAGGGCUCACCAAGGCGACGAUCCCUAGCUGGUCUGAGAGGAUGAUCAGCCACACUGGAACUGAGACACGGUCCAGACUCCUACGGGAGGCAGCAGUGGGGAAUAUUGCACAAUGGGCGCAAGCCUGAUGCAGCCAUGCCGCGUGUGUGAAGAAGGCCUUCGGGUUGUAAAGCACUUUCAGUCGUGAGGAAGGUAGUGUAGUUAAUAGCUGCAUUAUUUGACGUUAGCGACAGAAGAAGCACCGGCUAACUCCGUGCCAGCAGCCGCGGUAAUACGGAGGGUGCGAGCGUUAAUCGGAAUUACUGGGCGUAAAGCGCAUGCAGGUGGUUUGUUAAGUCAGAUGUGAAAGCCCGGGGCUCAACCUCGGAAUAGCAUUUGAAACUGGCAGACUAGAGUACUGUAGAGGGGGGUAGAAUUUCAGGUGUAGCGGUGAAAUGCGUAGAGAUCUGAAGGAAUACCGGUGGCGAAGGCGGCCCCCUGGACAGAUACUGACACUCAGAUGCGAAAGCGUGGGGAGCAAACAGGAUUAGAUACCCUGGUAGUCCACGCCGUAAACGAUGUCUACUUGGAGGUUGUGGCCUUGAGCCGUGGCUUUCGGAGCUAACGCGUUAAGUAGACCGCCUGGGGAGUACGGUCGCAAGAUUAAAACUCAAAUGAAUUGACGGGGGCCCGCACAAGCGGUGGAGCAUGUGGUUUAAUUCGAUGCAACGCGAAGAACCUUACCUACUCUUGACAUCCAGAGAACUUUCCAGAGAUGGAUUGGUGCCUUCGGGAACUCUGAGACAGGUGCUGCAUGGCUGUCGUCAGCUCGUGUUGUGAAAUGUUGGGUUAAGUCCCGCAACGAGCGCAACCCUUAUCCUUGUUUGCCAGCGAGUAAUGUCGGGAACUCCAGGGAGACUGCCGGUGAUAAACCGGAGGAAGGUGGGGACGACGUCAAGUCAUCAUGGCCCUUACGAGUAGGGCUACACACGUGCUACAAUGGCGCAUACAGAGGGCGGCCAACUUGCGAAAGUGAGCGAAUCCCAAAAAGUGCGUCGUAGUCCGGAUUGGAGUCUGCAACUCGACUCCAUGAAGUCGGAAUCGCUAGUAAUCGUGGAUCAGAAUGC
rnacentral:rRNA from 1 species